UGGGGAAUAUUGGACAAUGGGCGAAAGCCUGAUCCAGCCAUGCCGCGUGAGUGAUGAAGGCCUUAGGGCUGUAAAACUCUUUCGCCGGGGAAGAUAAUGACGGUACCCGGAGAAGAAGCUCCGGCUAACUUCGUGCCAGCAGCCGCGGUAAUACGAAGGGAGCUAGCGUUGUUCGGAAUUACUGGGCGUAAAGCGCACGUAGGCGGGCUAUUAAGUCAGGGGUGAAAUCCCGAGGCUCAACCUCGGAACUGCCUUUGAUACUGAUAGUCUUGAGAUCGGGAGAGGUGAGUGGAAUUCCUAGUGUAGAGGUGAAAUUCGUAGAUAUUAGGAAGAACACCAGUGGCGAAGGCGGCUCACUGGCCCGAUACUGACGCUGAGGUGCGAAAGCGUGGGGAGCAAACAGGAUUAGAUACCCCCGUAGUCCCUGAGCGGGCUGGCAAGGCGCAU
rnacentral:rRNA from 1 species